AGGAAGGUGGCGUAUGAAAAUGAUGCCAGCAAGGAUUGCGCUAUGAUCGCCGAGUAUCGGCGGAACGAGAUGCCGGGGUGCUCUCGCACUUAUGGAUGAAAAAGUUACCAUCAUUUACUUGUAUUCCAAAAGAAUGUCAGCUUGAUUGAUUUUCUCCAUAAAUUCUAGCCAGUUUGUUCAUUAGGUGCAUGCUGUGCAUGAAAGCAACAAUUUUGAGUAACGAGCCUCAUCAGGCAAGGCUGCCGGCGGGCCGACAACAACGAGGAAAAUACGCUGUCCAAAACAGGCAAGGUGUGAAUGCAAGGCUUAGGAUGUGACGUGGGGCCUCGUUUUGUAUAUGCUCCUAUGGACUGGGGAACGCAAGCGCAUGAGUAUGUUCUCAACCUGGUGGGGUUCCGAGGACUUUCGCCAAUUGGGAAGUCUAAUGGCAAAUUCCCCUGUAGUUGCGGGUCCUGAGCUUUCCUUUAAGGUUUGCUUUUGGCUGUCUAGGUGACACUUGCGUUGUCUGGUCUGGGUGGGUGUCUUGUGUGGCCUGAUCGUCUCAGGUGCAGUAAUAUUGCACGGCCAGCAAAUGGCCCGCUGGCUCUACUCUUCACGAGUCUAGAGAGGCCACUGUAACAACCACACACACAUCUUGGCGCAAACAGCUGUUAGCUGCAGCUAACAUGUCGUACGGAGUUUUAUCUCUCUGCGGUUGAGGUAUAUCCGUAGGCACGACUACGCAGUUCAGCAAUCGCCACGUAUUAUCCCCCGUGUGAUAGCACGACCCAUUCACGAUGGUUUAAUAGCCGUCAAGGGCACCCAAAAGGUAACCCGGGAUUCGUUGCUGUUGCUGUUACAGAGCGGGAGGCUUUGAACACAUUUGGAUUGUCAUAUCUAGGAUUGAAUACUCUGGAAUACUAUACAGCAUCAUCCCCCAUUACCACGCCAUACGACCUGCAAGUCCAAGGAGGUUGAUUCUGUCUUUUUGCAUCCCUCCUCAUCAUGUCACCUGAACAUCCGUAUAGACAGAGGGUUCAACAAUUGCCACCAAUUUAGCGUGCUAAUCUCGGUCCAUCAGAAGUGACCUCUAGUCCACAUCUCAGCAGCUAGCAACAAUCUCACGCUCCCGACAAUGUCGGGGGUUUUAUUAGGAGUUGAAAUCAGGACCUUAAACCGCAAAUUGCAAUAUUGUCUCCAGACCAGACAUCAAGGGCACCCAAAAUGUAGAUCGGGAUUAGUGUCAUGCAGAGCGGAGUACGGGUGUCUUGCUAACAGGUUUUUGCAGAUGAUCAAAGUAGAAUUACAGACUGCAGGUAUAUUUCAAUUUGCAGAAUACUUGAAAACUUGGCGAUCAAUCUGCAGCCUGCCCGGCACAGUCAAGUAACAAUUCGUACAUCCCGUAUCAACGUCCGCACGCUAGCUUCGCGAGUAAGAGCUCUCAACUUAUUAUCUCUUGUAAAAUCAAACUAAGUAUAGGCGUUUGAUGGCGCCUACUGUUUGCAUCCCCCGCCCAGCGUAGCUGCCAAGCGCGGUGCCAUUUUUGUAUCCAGUUAUUCGACAAAUCCUUUGUGUGGAAGGCAUUAACGCAACAUAAAUCCACAAGCGCGCAGUCCUUGCGCUAUAACGAUGGAUUAGUCCAGCACCAUCCUGGGCCUGCAUGACCGUGCAUACGGCAUAGCUUUUCUG
rnacentral:lncRNA from 1 species